GACGCUGUGGUGUAAUGGUUAGCGCGUUGGACUCCAGAUCGAGCGGUCCGGGUUCAAACCCUAGCCGGGGUCA